GUGCCUAAUACAUGCAAGUCGAGCGAACAGAUAAGGAGCUUGCUCCUUUGACGUUAGCGGCGGACGGGUGAGUAACACGUGGAUAACCUACCUAUAAGACUGGGAUAACUUCGGGAAACCGGAGCUAAUACCGGAUAACAUAUUGAACCGCAUGGUUCAAUAGUGAAAGGCGGCUUUGCUGUCACUUAUAGAUGGAUCCGCGCCGUAUUAGCUAGUUGGUAAGGUGACGGCUUACCAAGGCAACGAUACGUAGCCGACCUGAGAGGGUGAUCGGCCACACUGGAACUGAGACACGGUCCAG
rnacentral:rRNA from 1 species